rnacentral:rRNA from 1 species
AGAGUUUGAUCCUGGCUCAGGAUGAACGUUGGCGGCAUGCUUAACACAUGCAAGUCGAACGCAGGCUUCGGCCUGAGUGGCGAACGGGUGCGUAACACGUAGGUGACCUGGCCUGGAGUGGGGGAUAACCCUCGGAAACGGGGGCUAAUACCGCAUAGUCUGGAGGUGUCUUGAAAACCUUCAGUAAAGCUUAAUGUGCUCUAGGGGGGGCCUGCGGCCUAUCAGGUAGUUGGUGGGGUAAAAGCCUACCAAGCCGAUGACGGGUAGCUGACCUGAGAGGGUGGUCAGCCACAGGGGAACUGAGACACGGUCCCCACUCCUACGGGAGGCAGCAGUGAGGAAUAUUGGGCAAUGGGGGCAACCCUGACCCAGCAAUGCCGCGUGCGGGAGGACGCCCUUCGGGGUGUAAACCGCUUUUGUGAGGGAGGAGCAAGGACCGUACCUCACGAAGAAGUCACGGCUAACUACGUGCCAGCAGCCGCGGUAAUACGUAGGUGGCGAACGUUAUCCGGAGUUACUGGGCGUAAAGGGUCCGCAGGCGGGUCCGCAAGUCUGACGUGAAAUCUUCUGGCUUAACUAGAAGAGGUCGUUGGAAACUGCAGGUCUAGCAUCCCGCAGAGGUCGGUGGAAUUCCCGGUGUAGUGGUGGAAUGCGUAGAGAUCGGGAGGAACCUCGAAAGCGAAGGCAGCCGGCUGGGCGCGGAUGGACGCUGAGGGACGAAAGCGUGGGGAGCGAACAGGAUUAGAUACCCCGGUAGUCC